rnacentral:rRNA from 1 species
GCAGUGAGAUGCGUAGAUAUCGUGAGGAAGACCGGUGGCGAAGGCGAGUCUCUGGACAGAUCCUGACGCUGAGGCACGAAGGCUGGGGGAGCGAACAGGAUUAGAUACCCUGGUAGUCCCAGCAGUAAACGAUGUGAGCUUGAUGUGGGGGGGUUCGACCCCUUCCGUGUCGAAGCUAACGCGAUAAGCUCACCGCCUGAGGAGUACGGCCGCAAGGCUAAAACUCAAAGAAAUUGACGGGGACCCGCACAAGCGGUGAAGUAUGCGGCUUAAUUCGAUGCAACGCGAAGAACCUUACCUGGCCUUGACAUGCAUUGUGUCGUCGGUGAAAGCCGGCUAGUCCUGGAAACAGGACGCUUUGCACAGGUGCUGCAUGGCUGUCGUCAGCUCGUGUCGUGAGAUGUUGGGUUAAGUCCCGCAACGAGCGCAACCCUUGUGGUCAGUUACUAACCGGCUUAGCCGGAGGACUCUGGCCAGACUGCCCUGUCAAACGGGGAGGAAGGUGGGGACGACGUCAAGUCAGUAUGGCCCUUAUGGCCAGGGCUGCACACGUACUACAAUGCCCGGUACAAUGUGAACCGAAACCGCGAGUGGAGGAAAUCGCUCUUGAAACCGGGCCCAGUUCGGAUUGGAGUCUGCAACUCGACUCCAUGAAGUCGGAAUCGCUAGUAAUGGCGUAUCAGCAACGACGCCGUGAAUACGUUCCCGGGUCUUGUA